GCGGAGAAUUAGGAGAUUUCAUUGCUUUAUCUUCUAGACCUUUUACCGAAGUACCGCUGGAAGGACGCGGGGAAAUAAUAGAUUCCAUUGCUCUGUCUUCUGGCGAUUUUAAGGAAGAACUACUAGGAGGGCGCGGAGAAAUUUUAACGAAGAACUACUAGGAGGGCGAGGGGAAGUAGGUGAUUUCACUGCUCUGUCUUCUGAAGAUUUCAACGAAGAACUACUAGGAGGACGCGGGAGAUUUAGCCAGACUAUUUCUUACUGCUUUAGGAGUUACCAUAGAAGAUGGUGAUGGUAGCUUUUGCGCCUUUGUUGGAGUACUUGGUGGUGGUUGUGGUGAAUCAUCUUUUGCCUGUUCAGUAGAUAAAUUGAUCUCUUCAACCAUAUUAUCCUGAAAACCAGAUUAACGUACUGACCUUAAUUUAUAAAUGCGGUGAUUAGCAGCGAUGCUUCUGUGUCCACCAAGUAUUACAUGUGAGGGUGAACUACACGCUGUGCUUAUUGUUAUCCAUAUAAGAAAAUUCACCGAAGUAACUCAUUAAAUAUUUAAAUAGUCGAGAAAUUAAAGCUAAAGAAAAUCAUUUCUAUCUACUUAAUAUUUUAGUAUUAGCAUUUGUGUAUGCCAUUAACUACACCUGUGCUUUUAUAAAUUACGCUGCAUGUGCUACAAAUUAUUACUGAUUAUUAAGAACAAAAAAAUGUGAUAAUACAAUUGUGCGCAUAAACUUAUUUCGGUAGGUUCUCUAUUUUUCUGUUUUUAUUCUAUAGAAAAAUUUAAAACAUUAAAUGGAUAUUCUCAUACCAUGUAUGAAAUGGACGUUGUUUUUUUUUAUAAAGAAAUUAUACGUGUAAGCAACAUUUUAAGCUCCUAAUGAUAACAAUUUUAUAUUGCAUUCUGCAAAUACUUUCUCCUUAAACGUUAUUAAAUUUACUUUCAUUAUUUUCUGUUAAAACAUUUACUUAGAAUAUAGGUGUAUAUCUACAGGUGACAAUAUAGUUGUAAUCCCAUAAAGCACAAAAAAUUACCCGAUUCUAUGUAACCAACUAAUCGCAGUUUUAACCUUUUGAGGGUUUAAUAAAAAUGCUGGGAAUAUAAAUUUAAAAACAAAAAUAUUAUUAUAAUGGCUCUCUUGUUAUGUCUGACAAUAUGUCGAAUACUCGUUAUACAAUAAUAUUCGUAUGAAGUGUGAUUAUUCGUAACGAUUACGGCAACUUAUUAUUAUGUAUCUAAUUUUUGUGAAUCAUCGGAUAAUUAAUCAAGUUGAAAUAUGUACUAAUCAGUAUAUGGAAGCAAUAAAGUAUAAAUAAUACUUGAUAUAUACCUUUUUAGCAUAGAUUGUAUGAAUUUUUCAAAAGUCGUAUGAUUGAGAGAGAAAGAGAGAGAGAGAGAGAGAGAGAGAAAGAGAGAGAGAGAGAGACACACAUUUCUCUGAAAUUAUUUGCGAUAUUUCAGUUAUUUUGCUUUUCCCAUCGACGUUUUACUUUAUUAUUGAUUCUCAUUUUUCAACUGACUGUAGAUCAGUCGUAGAAUCUAAGUAUUUAUUCUGAUGUAUACAACAAAUAGAGAUAGUUUACGUAUCUACAGUAACGAUUACGAAUUUAUCGUAUUCUAUCAUUUAAAUACAAUAUGAAACGUAUUCGAUGCAACCGUGCGAAAUAUUUUUUUUCUCACUCGAUGCAUCGAAUAUGAUUGCUCAUUGUAUACGAUUCUAAUAUCAUUUGUAUUUCUUGUGUUCGACUUUUCAACGGGGUUCCUCUACCGAUCUACGUAGAGAUGACAGCAACUUAUUCCACGGGAUAAGUUUCUUCAGAACCCGGCAAUUCCCAAUAAAUCGACGCUCGACGUCGUAAACCUCAUCCAUUAGAGAUCCAUAUCUUCGAACUCUGUUCUUAAUAUGCAUCGUUUGAAUUUACCGCGAGAAAGCUGCUCAUAAAUUCAAGCACAAAUUGGGUGAGUCAUAAUUGCUUCACACUAAACUCUUUCUUCUUUCGCUAGAAUCGAGCAUACGAUUUAUAUACACGAGAUGUGAAUGCCGUAGAAUAGUUUUCUCUAACGGAUAAAUUUCCGAUAGAUAAAAUGUAAAUUCGGUAAUGGAAAAAUCGUACUUGAUUUAACUCUUGAACAUCAAGAUGAGAGCAAAGUAAGUGAAUUACAUGGCGCGUAAAACGAUUUAAGUCUUAUAGCGUGCUGCUAAGCAAUAAAUCUAUACAUGUAUCGAUAAAUAGAAAGAAAAAUUAUUGAAAAGUUUGAUACUCAUAAAAUUCCUUAGCCUUAAUAACGAAUGUUUCGGUAAAAUUGAUUUCCGUUUGAUAUUUCAAGAGUUAAAACAAAUUGAUUCGGUUUAAUAAGCGAUGGUUAAUGAAAAAUGCUAGAAACUAUUCAAAUACAUUAUACAGAGUGUAUCACAGAAAGUGUUACGAGAUAAUUCCUCUAAAAUUACUACGAUUAACAAGAAAAUUUGUUCUACGUAUAUUUGUUAUGGAAUCUUUUGGAUGGCAAAGAGAGACUUUCCGUGUUAAAUUACGCAAAAUAUAGAACGAUGUUUCAUCCCAAAUAAAAUCUACUUGGAAAUGCAAACACUGUACAUUAUUUCAUUAAAAAGGAAAGUGUAGAGUCCUCUUUUUAACUCGCUAAAUGAACAAUUAAAUAAUUUAAUUAACAAAUCCUAGAGAAAAUAUUUUUUUCUUGUUUUCUUUAAUAGUUUUAAAGGAAACAACUCGUAAUACUUUAUCCUAUACACCUGAUAUAGAUAUAUCAUGUACAGAGUGCAUACAGGAAUCUCAUUUUUAUGAUAAAAAUGCAUUGUCCAAAUACACAAAGAAUAUAUCAAAAACUUGACGCAGAAUGUGUAUAUAUUUAUGUGUAUAUUCUAAACUUAGUAGUUAUAAUCAUUCAAUGAACGUCGUACACUCCGUACAUGUUUUCAACAGGUGGUGAUGCACAAAGAAAACAAAGUUUUUAAUUGCUAUUAUUUUCUUCUUUCGUAUCAUCUUAUGACAACGUGCAAUUAAUAU